AGCCUGGUCACUGCCCUUUCACUUUUGGAAACUAGUGAAUGUGUUGUCAAAGAAAAAAAAAGUGUAAAUUAACUACUUUGCAGGUUUUUCACUCCUCUGAUUUUUUUUAUAUCUUUGGCAUAGGAACUGCAUAAAUAGCAGCU